AGUGAACGCUGGCGGUAGGCCUAACACAUGCAAGUCGAACGGCAGCACAGUAAGAGCUUGCUCUUACGGGUGGCGAGUGGCGGACGGGUGAGGAAUACAUCGGAAUCUACUUUUUCGUGGGGGAUAACGUAGGGAAACUUACGCUAAUACCGCAUACGACCUACGGGUGAAAGCAGGGGAUCUUCGGACCUUGCGCGAUUGAAUGCGCCGAUGUCCGAUUAGCUAGUUGGCGGGGUAAAGGCCCACCAAGGCGACGAUCCGUAGCUGGUCUGAGAGGAUGAUCAGCCACACUGGAACGGAGACACGGUCCAGACUCCUACGGGAGGCAGCAGUGGGGAAUAUUGGACAAUGGGCGCGAGCCUGAUCCAGCCAUACCGCGUGGGUGAAGAAGGCCUUCGGGUUGUAAAGCCCUUUUGUUGGGAAAGAAAAGCAGCAGGUUAAUACCCCGCGGUUCUGACGGUACCCAAAGAAUAAGCACCGGCUAACUUCGUG
rnacentral:rRNA from 1 species